rnacentral:lncRNA from 1 species
UAAGCCCGGCGCACACUAGAGCUAUGUGCUUAGCAAAAUGUCAUUCGUGACAGUUGGCGUAAGGAGAUAGCUCUCGUGUGCGGGCGAUUUACGAACGACUUUUGUCAUUCGUGCCACUUACGCCAAAUAUCUAACAUGUUUGAUAAUUUCUGCCUCGCGUGCCAAAAUCUUUCCGUGUGCGACGAACGAAAGCUAUCUGCUUACGGAUUGUCGUAACAGCGCAUGCGUAGUAUACGAAAGUAAACAUCCAAGAUGGCGGCGCAAAAUAAAUUGCUGGCUGAGGUAAUUUUAGAAGACAAACUCGUCGUGAUAAUGCUCUUCCAAUAACUUGUCUACAAGAUAUGUUCUCAACGGGCUUGUAGCAAGCUUGUUAACAAGUUGUGUCAAUGCUGUUCCAAAAGCAAGCUUGUAGACAAGUUGUUGGAACAGCAUUAUCACGACAAGUUUGUCUUCUAAAAUUGCCUCGGCCAGCAAUUCAUUUUGCUCCGCCAUCUUGGAUGUUUACU